rnacentral:rRNA from 1 species
CGUCUAUAUACGUAUAGCAUAUCAAUAAGCGGAGGAAAAGAAACUAACAAGGAUUCCCUUAGUAACGGCGAGUGAAGCGGGAAGAGCUCAAAUUUGAAAUCUUCAAAGUUCUACCUUGACGAAUUGUAGUUUAUAGAAGUGUUUUCUGUUAGUGGAGUGGCAAAAGUUCUUUGGAAUAGGACAUCAUAGAGGGUGAGAAUCCCGUAUUUGGUCAUUCCUCCUAGCGUUGUGAUACACUUUCAACGAGUCGGAUUGUUUGGGAAUGCAGUCCAAAAUGGGUGGUAAAUUUCAUCUAAAGCUAAAUAUUGGCGAGAGACCGAUAGCGAACAAGUACCGUGAGGGAAAGAUGAAAAGAACUUUGAAAAGAGAGUUAAACAGUACGUGAAAUUGUCAAAAGGGAAGCGUUUGACACCAGUGUUGUUUUUCCGAAAAUCAAUUACGAAUGUUUUAUUUUUGAGGAGUUAUGACUUCAUCGGCUUGCUCCUUUCUUUAUGAAACUUUCUUAAUGCACUUUUCGGUUAACAAGUCAACAUCAAUUUCUUUUGUUGUAAAAGGGUAUGAGGAAGGUGGCUUUCUUUUCGGAGAAAGUGUUUAUAGCCUUUGUGCCUCUGCAAUCGGAGAGAUUGAGGUCUGCAGCGUAGAUCCUUCGGGGUUAGAUACAUUUGUGCUAAGUUAUAGCUUUUCAUAGACAACUUGUUGACUAUGUUUAGUCAUUGUAGCUUACUCGCUUACUGCUAUUUUACCUACGCUUAGGAUGUUGAUAUGCAUGACUGAUAU